UUUCUGGUGUCUCUAUGGGUCUUUGUUCUUUAUAUGAGGUCCCAAUGAUGCCAUCCAGUCAUUUGCUUUCUUACAGGCAUGUUUUCCACCAGCCACCCACACUGAUUAGCUUGAGAGUGACUCAAGGCAGAACUGAUGGCCUUGUCAUAGAACAGCCUCUGAUCGAGUGCUUGCUGAACAGCUGGCUAGCUCUGAGCAUGAAGCAGAAUGCAGGACAGCUUAAAGAAGAGAGGAGGGAGAGGAGGGGGACUCCUGCUCGGGGCACCCCAUCUCCUGGAUGUGAGAUCACCUGUAUGGAGCUGGCCCAGUAGCAGUUUCAGGAUUCGGGAAUGGCUUCGGGGAAAGAGAACCCUUAAGUUUUUACUUUCAAUCCACUUGUCAGUUUCCCCUUUGUCAACUGCACCUCCAAACUGCAUGAUGUUCUUGGCAGAGAAAAUUCCCAGACCACAGAGGAGUGGUGUCUGUAGAAGAUAGAGCAAGAGGAAGCAGCUCAAAGACAAGGUUCCAGAAUGAGCUUGCACCAUGGGAUGCAGCCAGUGGACAGUGACGUGACCAGGAAACAUCUGUGGUGGCAAGCGGCAUGGCCAGCGAGUCAGAGGCGACUGUGCCGGAAUUGAAUGUGCAGGCACUCCUGUUAUAAAGGAAAAGAGGAAAGUGCAGGCAAAGGCUCUUAUUCUCAUGUGCUGAUUAUACCAAUUCAAAUAGAUGACAUCUGUGUGGGCAUUCAGAUGGGCAUUUUGAAUUCUAAUGAUUGUGUGAACAUGAAUCACCUAAUCA